UUCCCUCAAGUUCUAAAGUGGAUACAAAUGUCAUCAGAGGUAGCAGUCUUCUUCCGCCUAAAGAAUCCACCGUGAGGAGCUCUGAGCAGAGAAUUCCUUAUCUAAGCAGAGGCAUCAAGAAACCCAGUGAGAGGAAUGGCCCGCUCAGCUUUCCACCUGAAGUCCCAGAGGAACAGUUAGCUGAGCUGAAAGUUCCUCCAAGAACUCUGGCUGAGCAAGAUGUGUUGACAGCAAAAGUACAGCAGCCCCUCCCAGCCCUCCCCCCUUCACAUGCACAUGUGGCUACUAAACUACAGAGUUUUACAAA
rnacentral:lncRNA from 1 species